GACGAACGCUGGCGGCGUGCUUAACACAUGCAAGUGGAGCGACGAACCAGGCUUCGGCCUGGGGCAAAGCCGCGAACGGGUGAGUAACACGUGGGUAACCUGCCCCGAUGACCGGGACAACCCGAGGAAACUCGGGCUAAUACCGGAUGUGGUCCCUUCACAUCAGUGAAGGUGACUAAAGGUAGCUUCGGCCUCCGCAUCGGGAUGGGCCCGCGGCCCAUUAGCUUGUUGGUGGGGUAAUGGCCUACCAAGGCUUCGAUGGGUAGCUGGUCUGAGAGGACGAUCAGCCACACUGGGACUGAGACACGGCCCAGACUCCUACGGGAGGCAGCAGUGGGGAAUAUUGGACAAUGGGCGAAAGCCUGAUCCAGCGAUGCCGCGUGUGUGAAGAAGGCCUGCGGGUUGUAAAGCACUUUCAGUAGGGAAGAAAGCCGAGUGCCAAUACCACUCGGUCUUGACGUUACCUAAAGAAGAAGCACCGGCUAACUCCGUGCCAG
rnacentral:rRNA from 1 species